rnacentral:rRNA from 1 species
AGUGAACGCUGGCGGUAGGCCUAACACAUGCAAGUCGAACGGCAGCACAGUAAGAGCUUGCUCUUACGGGUGGCGAGUGGCGGACGGGUGAGGAAUACAUCGGAAUCUACUUUUUCGUGGGGGAUAACGUAGGGAAACUUACGCUAAUACCGCAUACGACCUACGGGUGAAAGCAGGGGAUCUUCGGACCUUGCGCGAUUGAAUGAGCCGAGGUCGGAUUAGCUAGUUGGCGGGGUAAAGGCCCACCACGGCGACGAUCCGUAGCUGGUCUGAGAGGAUGAUCAGCCACACUGGAACUGAGACACGGUCCAGACUCCUACGGGAGGCAGCAGUGGGGAAUAUUGGACAAUGGGCGCAAGCCUGAUCCAGCCAUACCGCGUGGGUGAAGAAGGCCUUCGGGUUGUAAAGCCCUUUUGUUGGGAAAGAAAAGCAGCAGGUUAAUACCCCGCUGUUCUGACGGUACCCAAAGAAUAAGCACCGGCUAACUUCGUG